rnacentral:tRNA from 1 species
GGGGACUGCGCCGGGGCGCAGCGAUGCCUUGCAAGCAACGCGGGGAGGGAUCGACACCCUCAGUCUCCACCA